rnacentral:rRNA from 1 species
CGUAGUUGGAUUUCUGAUUGGGACUACCGGUCCACGGCCUCUGGUCGUGUGUACUAGUGGGUUCUAGUCUUCCUUAUGGGGAACUUGUCUGGCAUUGGUUUGUCGGGCUUGGGAGCCAUAUCAUUUACUGUGAAAAAAUUAGAGUGUUUAAAGCAGGCACAUGCCUUGAAUACCUCAGCAUGGAAUAAUAAGAUAGGACUUUGGCCUAUUUUGUUGGUUUGCAAGCCAGGGUAAUGA